rnacentral:tRNA from 1 species
GCCUGGGUGGCUUAGUGGUUAAAUGUGUGACUUUGACUCAGGUCCAUGAUCUCAGUUCGUGGGUUCGAGCCCCACAUCAGGCU